AGGGUUCGAUUCUGGCUCAGGAUGAACGCUGGCGGCGUGCUUAACACAUGCAAGUCGAACGGGAUCCCAGGAGCUUGCUCCUGGGUGAGAGUGGCGAACGGGUGAGUAAUGCGUGACCGACCUGCCCCAUACACCGGAAUAGCUCCUGGAAACGGGUGGUAAUGCCGGAUGCUCCAGUUGAUCGCAUGGUCUUCUGGGAAAGCUUUCGCGGUAUGGGAUGGGGUCGCGUCCUAUCAGCUUGACGGCGGGGUAACGGCCCACCGUGGCUUCGACGGGUAGCCGGCCUGAGAGGGCGACCGGCCACAUUGGGACUGAGAUACGGCCCAGACUCCUACGGGAGGCAGCAGUGGGGAAUAUUGCACAAUGGGCGCAAGCCUGAUGCAGCGACGCCGCGUGCGGGAUGACGGCCUUCGGGUUGUAAACCGCUUUUGACUGGGAGCAAGCCCUUCGGGGUGAGUGUACCUUUCGAAUAAGCACCGGCUAACUACGUGCCAGCAGCCGCGGUAAUACGUAGGGUGCAAGCGUUAUCCGGAAUUAUUGGGCGUAAAGGGCUCGUAGGCGGUUCGUCGCGUCCGGUGUGAAAGUCCAUCGCUUAACGGUGGAUCCGCGCCGGGUACGGGCGGGCUUGAGUGCGGUAGGGGAGACUGGAAUUCCCGGUGUAACGGUGGAAUGUGUAGAUAUCGGGAAGAACACCAAUGGCGAAGGCAGGUCUCUGGGCCGUCACUGACGCUGAGGAGCGAAAGCGUGGGGAGCGAACAGGAUUAGAUACCCUGGUAGUCCACGCCGUAAACGGUGGAUGCUGGAUGUGGGGACCAUUCCACGGUCUCCGUGUCGGAGCCAACGCGUUAAGCAUCCCGCCUGGGGAGUACGGCCGCAAGGCUAAAACUCAAAGAAAUUGACGGGGGCCCGCACAAGCGGCGGAGCAUGCGGAUUAAUUCGAUGCAACGCGAAGAACCUUACCUGGGCUUGACAUGUUCCCGACGACGCCAGAGAUGGCGUUUCCCUUCGGGGCGGGUUCACAGGUGGUGCAUGGUCGUCGUCAGCUCAGAUCGGAA
rnacentral:rRNA from 1 species